rnacentral:tRNA from 1 species
GCCGGCUUAGCUCAUCUGGUAGAGCAACGGUUUUGUAAACCGUAGGUGGUCGGUUCGAGUCCGACAGCCGGCU